GUAGGGAAUCUUCCACNNNUGAGGCGCAAGCCUGAUGGAGCAACACCGCGUGAGUGAAGAAGGGUUUCGGCUCGUAAAACUCUGUUGUUGGAGAAGAACGUGCGUAAGAGUAACUGUUUACGCAGUGACGGUAUCCAACCAGAAAGUCACGGCUAACUACGUGCCAGCAGCCGCGGUAAUACGUAGGUGGCAAGCGUUAUCCGGAUUUAUUGGGCGUAAAGCGAGCGCAGGCGGUUGCUUAGGUCUGAUGUGAAAGCCUUCGGCUUAACCGAAGAAGUGCAUCGGAAACCGGGCGACUUGAGUGCAGAAGAGGACAGUGGAACUCCAUGUGUAGCGGUGGAAUGCGUAGAUAUAUGGAAGAACACCAGUGGCGAAGGCGGCUGUCUGGUCUGCAACUGACGCUGAGGCUCGAAAGCAUGGGUAGCGAACAGGAUUAGAUACCCUGGUAGUCCAUGCCGUAAACGAUGAGUGCUAGGUGUUGGAGGGUUUCCGCCCUUCAGUGCCGAAGCUAACGCAUUAAGCACUCCGCCUGGGGAGUACGACCGCAAGGUUG
rnacentral:rRNA from 1 species